rnacentral:rRNA from 1 species
GAUGAACGCUGGCGGCGUGCCUAAUACAUGCAAGUCGAGCGAACAGACGAGGAGCUUGCUCCUCUGACGUUAGCGGCGGACGGGUGAGUAACACGUGGAUAACCUACCUAUAAGACUGGGAUAACUUCGGGAAACCGGAGCUAAUACCGGAUAAUAUAUUGAACCGCAUGGUUCAAUAGUGAAAGACGGUUUUGCUGUCACUUAUAGAUGGAUCCGCGCUGCAUUAGCUAGUUGGUAAGGUAACGGCUUACCAAGGCAACGAUGCGUGGACGACCUGAGAGGGUGAUCGGCCACAUGGGAACGGAGGCAGGGACAAGACGACUGAGGGACGCAGCAGUAGGGAAUCGUACGCAAUGGGCGAAAGCAUGACGGAGCAACGCCGAGCGAGUUACGAAGGUCCUCGGAUCGUAAAACCCUGCUACGAGUUAAGAACAGAUGUGGAAGGAAACGUGCACUUAUUGACGGUACUGAAUAAGAAAGCCACGGCUAACUACGUG